GGUGAGAUGGCUGAGGUUUAAGCAGUAAAUUGUAAAUUUACAUACGAAAGUGAUUUCUCUUACCA
rnacentral:tRNA from 1 species